CGUGGGGAACCGUGCCCCACUAGUCUGGGAUACCACUUGGAAACAGGUGCUAAUACCGGAUAAGAAAGCGGAUCGCAUGAUCAGCUUUUAAAAGGCGGCGUAAGCUGUCGCUAUGGGAUGGCCCCGCGGUGCAUUAGCUAGUGGGUAAGGUAAAGGCUUACCAAGGCGAUGAUGCAUAGCCGAGUUGAGAGACUGAUCGGCCACAUUGGGACUGAGACACGGCCCAAACUCCUACGGGAGGCAGCAGGG
rnacentral:rRNA from 1 species